rnacentral:rRNA from 1 species
CAGGCUUAACACAUGCAAGUCGAGGGGCAGCAUUUCAGUUUGCUUGCAAACUGGAGAUGGCGACCGGCGCACGGGUGAGUAACACGUAUCCAACCUGCCGAUAACUCGGGGAUAGCCUUUCGAAAGAAAGAUUAAUACCCGAUGGUAUAAUCAGACCGCAUGGUCUUGUUAUUAAAGAAUUUCGGUUAUCGAUGGGGAUGCGUUCCAUUAGGCAGUUGGUGAGGUAACGGCUCACCAAACCUUCGAUGGAUAGGGGUUCUGAGAGGAAGGUCCCCCACAUUGGAACUGAGACACGGUCCAAACUCCUACGGGAGGCAGCAGUGAGGAAUAUUGGUCAAUGGGCGCAGGCCUGAACCAGCCAAGUAGCGUGAAGGAUGACUGCCCUAUGGGUUGUAAACUUCUUUUAUAUGGGAAUAAAGUUUUCCACGUGUGGAAUUUUGUAUGUACCAUAUGAAUAAGGAUCGGCUAACUCCGUGCCAGCAGCCGCGGUAAUACGGAGGAUCCGAGCGUUAUCCGGAUUUAUUGGGUUUAAAGGGAGCGUAGGUGGACAGUUAAGUCAGUUGUGAAAGUUUGCGGCUCAACCGUAAAAUUGCAGUUGAUACUGGCUGUCUUGAGUACAGUAGAGGUGGGCGGAAUUCGUGGUGUAGCGGUGAAAUGCUUAGAUAUCACGAAGAACUCCGAUUGCGAAGGCAGCUCACUGGACUGCAACUGACACUGAUGCUCGAAAGUGUGGGUAUCAAACAGGAUUAGAUACCCUGGUAGUCCACACAGUAAACGAUGAAUACUCGCUGUUUGCGAUAUACAGUAAGCGGCCAAGCGAAAGCAUUAAGUAUUCCACCUGGGGAGUACGCCGGCAACGGUGAAACUCAAAGGAAUUGACGGGGGCCCGCACAAGCGGAGGAACAUGUGGUUUAAUUCGAUGAUACGCGAGGAACCUUACCCGGGCUUAAAUUGCAUUUGAAUAUAUUGGAAACAGUAUAGCCGUAAGGCAAAUGUGAAGGUGCUGCAUGGUUGUCGUCAGCUCGUGCCGUGAGGUGUCGGCUUAAGUGCCAUAACGAGCGCAACCCUUAUCUUUAGUUACUAACAGGUCAUGCUGAGGACUCUAGAGAGACUGCCGUCGUAAGAUGUGAGGAAGGUGGGGAUGACGUCAAAUCAGCACGGCCCUUACGUCCGGGGCUACACACGUGUUACAAUGGGGGGUACAGAAGGCAGCUACCUGGUGACAGGAUGCUAAUCCCAAAAGCCUCUCUCAGUUCGGAUCGAAGUCUGCAACCCGACUUCGUGAAGCUGGAUUCGCUAGUAAUCGCGCAUCAGCCAUGGCGCGGUGAAUACGUUCCCGGGCCUUGUACACACCGCCCGUCAAGCCAUGAAAGCCGGGGGUACCUGAAGUACGUAACAGCAAGGAGCGUCCUAGGGUAAAACUGGUAA